rnacentral:rRNA from 1 species
CCUACGGGUGGCAGCAGUGAGGAAUAUUGGUCAAUGGCCGCAGGGCUGAACCAGCCAAGUCGCGUGAGGGAUGACGGCCCUAUGGGUUGUAAACUUCUUUUGUCAGGGAGCAAAGGGCGCCACGCGUGGCGCUUUGCGAGUACCUGAAGAAAAAGCAUCGGCUAACUCCGUGCCAGCAGCCGCGGUAAUACGGAGGAUGCGAGCGUUAUCCGGAUUUAUUGGGUUUAAAGGGUGCGCAGGCGGAAUGUCAAGUCAGCGGUAAAAUUGUGGAGCUCAACCCCGUCCUGCCGUUGAAACUGGCGUUCUUGAGUGAGCGAGAAGUAUGCGGAAUGCGUGGUGUAGCGGUGAAAUGCAUAGAUAUCACGCAGAACUCCGAUUGCGAAGGCAGCAUACCGGCGCUCAACGGACGCUGAUGCACGAAAGCGUGGGUAUCGAACAGGAUUAGAUACCCGUGUAGUC